rnacentral:misc_RNA from 1 species
GAUGAAGGAACGUAGCGAAAUGCGAUAAGUAAUGUGAAUUGCAGAAUUCAGUGAAUCAUCGAAUCUUUGAACGCACAUUGCGCCCCUUGGUAUUCCGAGGGGCAUGCCUGUUCGAGCGUCAUUAUAACCCCUCAAGCUCAGCUUGGUGUUGGGGCCUGCUGCACUGGCAGCCCUUAAAAUCAGUGGCGGCGCCAUCUGGCUCUAAGCGUAGUAAUUCUUCUCGCUAUGGAGUCCUGGUGGAUGCUUGCCAUCAACCCCCAAUUUUUCUAUGGUUGACCUCGGAUCAGGUAGGGAUACCCGCUGAACUUAAGCAUAUCAAUAAGCGGAGGA